AGGCAGGAGAGAAAGGUUGGACAUGAAGCCCUGGGAGAGGUCACCUCUCCCACGGAGCCCGUCAGGCCAGCCACCGAGGCUCUGACUCAGGCGGCACUUGGCCGUGGAGCUCAGCCUUCCAUGUGACCUCCCUGGACAAAGAGCCCCAGUAAAGAUGUUCCAAACUCCGUGAAAUUCCUCCCUUGGUCUACAAACAAAGCAAGUCACGAGUUCUCUUACCAUGAAGACCCCCCCGCCCCACCCCCGCCAGCCCCCGGGCAGCCUCCCACCUACGGGCAUCAAAAAGUUAAAUCUUCGUUUUGGAGGUCAGACAAGUUGGUGGAACUUUGAGUUGUUACGUCAAAUCCACUUGAAACUCGCAGCGACCUCUGCAAUUAUCA